AGUUGGAAAAUUCACAGUCGUUGGCAAGCAGUCGUUUAGUGUGUUUUAACAAAGUGAAAGUUCCAGUUGAACAAUUUACAAGGCGAAGCAAAGAAAACGGGCAACUUAACCUUAAUUGUUAUUGAUGUGCAAUAGAAGAGCUAGCUGAAGUACCAGACAAAGUCCGUUGGGACCUUUGUCUGAAGCUACAAAAAAACCCCAACUAGCAUGUGAAAAUGGAUGAUCUAGAAGAAGUUACACAAUGUGUGGUAUGAUACUUCUGAAACUGGGCAGAUAACAUGACAGGGUCUUCAGCUCAAUAGAAAGUCAACGACUGAGUGGAAAAGUUAAACCAAAACAAUCGCUUUCGUUAAGCCCCCUUCACCUCGCCACCCAUCCAUGUGCUCGACUAAUGGUGUAGAUUGCCCCAAAAAGAAAAACAUUUCAACGAAUGAACACUUACUUGCGAUGAAGAAAUAUGCUCUGAAUGCGCUAGAGAGCAUGUAAAGAUGACAACGUGACCAGAGUGAGUUUGAACCACGAUCCAUGCAUCUUUUUUAGGAAUCAACCUGCGCACACCUACUAUGUUACUCGGGUGUUGACCCCCCCAUAUACUGCAAAUUCUACACAAUUCUAUGCGUAUCAUACAAAUCUCAAUGAGUAGUGGAAUAACUUGAAAUUAGAAAGGUCGACCAUACUUCCAUACAACCUUCCAUUCAUCAAAAUCUUAUAAUGAAAAAUACUGGUUAUGGGGAAAAGUAAAGUUGUCACCAAAAUGCAUGCUGCGAAGAAGAGUAUCUGGCUUCAACAACGCGUUGUUGGCUAACAAAGUUGCUGUCGUCCGGAGUAUCGUCUCUUCACACUUACAUAUGGCGUGACUUCAUUCUUCCAUCAACACCACCAACGUCGUAUGCAGACUUUCGCACAAUUGGGGAUGAUGGUAUUUAUGAAAUCGUUUCCUCUAAAUCACCCUUUCCCAAAUUUUCAGUAAGCCGAAAAAAAGAGUAGCCGAAUAGAAAAAAUCCAACAAUUUCCAUCUCAUCCCUUGCAAAAGGCAUGCUGACUGACAUCCUAAAAUUUUUCAACUGUGGAGCACUUGUUCCGUCUUUCUCUGAAUUUCUACGGCUAAGGUGUAAGCUGAUCCUCAAUGCCUGCUACAAGUUCGAUGCUGAAACGCGUAAGCGGUAUCAUGAGAUAUACAUUUCCAAUAACUUUAUUAUUUUAGGACUUGUACUCCUUGAAUACUUCUGUCCGUGCUAGAGGCGAUAAAUGUUCCCAGAAAACGAUUUGCUCAUAUUUUGUUCUGCAAUCAAACUCCGAAGAUUUUUAUCCCAAUGCAACUAAAUCCAUUGUUGCUUACUGCUGGCUGAAGAAAGGCGGAGUAAAAGUAGGAGUUAUCUCGGCGGCAGAAGUGAUUUCCCCAUUUCUAGUAUCCACUUUAUUGUUUAUUUGGUGUUCAGCCUACGAAAUUAAAAUGAGGGCGGCACAAAUUCGGCUACUUAUUCGACUUCA